GCCUCUGUGGUGUAGUGGUAGAGCACGCGUCCCCGGUAUGGAUGAAUCGUGAGUUCAAUUCCCGCCCGAGGCC